rnacentral:lncRNA from 1 species
UUCUUAACCACACCCUACUAUUUCCUCAGUUUAAUUGUGCAUAACAUUGGGUUAGUCUGGAAAUUCUACAAAUCUGUGACAGCAUUCUUCAAUCACCACAGUCAGAGCCUAUACCUACCUCCACAUCAAAGUUGGUCAUGUCGGCCUUCCACUUAAAAUAAUCUUGAACAGCACCCCCAAAAUCUCUUGCAGCCUCAUUUGAGGUAAAGCAAUGUUUCUCUCCUGCCCUGUUGCAUGUGACUCUAAACUUCAGCACUUGAGGCUCAGUUUCUUCUUUUGAGCUUUCAUCAGUCUCAUCUUUGCAAGAUGCCAAAUCAUCACCUAUUAAUGUUGAUACAUCCUCUUUGAUGGCUGGAUUUUCAUAAUAAUCUAAGAUAUGAGAAUCUAAAGCAUGGCUAGUGAACUCUUUUUUAACAUUUCUCUGAUCGAUUUUGACUUCUUGUCCAUUAUUAAUCUUCUCUUUACUUGAAUUCUGAUUUAUCUUUUUGCGCUUUGCUUUUUUCUUUUUAAAACUGGCAUUAAUUUUCCACACUUUUAAGGGGUUUGACCAUGGGAGUUUUCCAGCCAAGUCUUCAAAAUCCUUUAGAACUUCUUCCUGUAAAGGACAGAGAAAGAAAUUCAUUCAUUUCUCACCACUAUAAUCAAACAAAUAAACCUCUACUUUGCUUAUGGACAGUUGGUAUCCGUGGGGGACACUGGUUCCAGGACCGCCAAAGACACCAAAACCCAAAGAUGCUCAAAAGUCCCUCAUAUAAAAUGGUAUAGUGUCUACAUAUGACCUACACACAUCCUCUCAAGAGUAACUUAAAUCAUCUCUAUCUUACCUAUGAUACCUGAUACAAUGUAAAUGCUAUGGAAAUAGUUGUUAUACUGUAUUGUUUGGGAAAUAAUGACAAGAAAAAAAGUCUGGGCUGGAUAUGGUGGCUCAUGCCUGUAAUCCCAGCACUUUAGGAAGCUGAAGCAAGUGGAUCACUUGAACUUAGGAGUUUGAGACCAGACUGGGCAACAUGGCAAAACUCUGUCUCCACAAAAAAAUACAAAAAUUAACUGGGCAUGGUGGCACGUGCCUGUAGUCCCAGCUACUCAGGAAGCUGAGAUGGGAGGACUGCUUGAGCCUGGGAGGUCAAGGCUCCAAUGAGCUAUGAUCACGCCAAUGCACUCCAGCUUAGACAACAGAGCAAGAUCUUGUCUAAAAAAAUAAAUCUUUUACAAAAGAGAAUGAACACUGACUACAAUAUUCUUAAGGAAAGAAAGCCUAACUCCAAAUUUUAUACCCAAACUAUCAGCCAAAUAUAAAGGUGAAAGACAAACAUUUCUGAACUCAUGCCAUUCAACAGAUACAAAUUAUAACAAAAGGACAAAUAAUGUGCCUAUAAUCUAUUUAAUUAUAUCACUAAAAUGAAAACAAGUGUAGGGAUUGUGAUUAUAAAGCAGAAGGUAAAUGUUACAAACUGGCAUGUAAAUGGGCAUACUGAUACCCUCAUCUCUUACACCCAGAGGUCAAAGGAUAGAAGUUAAAGCUGAUAAAUAAAAUGUAAGUAUAUUUAAAAGUUUAAGGGUGAACACUAAGAAAAAUAACUGAAAAAUAAAGGAAAAAAGUAUAAAUAUGCCAAUUUCAUCAUUGCUUUUAGCAGGGAUUCAAAAAAUACCGUGUAUAUAUGGUAGAUAAGGUAGAUAAUAUCAAAUUGUAGUUAUAAAGGUAACAGCUAGAACACACACACAUAAACCUUCCAAACUAUUAGAAAACACAGGCAUAUGAAAAAAGUAAAGACAUAAUGUAAAGAUUUUUCAAAUUAAGAAAAAACAAAAAGUAUGAGCAUGACAAAACUAAGACUAAACAGUUGUCAUUAUCAAUAAGUAUCAAUGGGAUAAACACAAAGAUGACACUCAGUUUGAAUAUGUACAAGAAUUUACAUAGUGUAUUUGUUGCACCACUGUAAUAGCAAAAGAAUGUGAAAAACCCUCAUGCCCUAAAAUGGGACUGGUUAAAUUAUUAUACAGCCAAACAAUGGAGUAUACGCAGCCAAUUCCAGCAAUGAUACUGCCAGGAUCUCCAACAUAUAGGUUGAACAUUCCUAAUCUCAAAGUCCAAAAUCCAAAACCUAAAAUUUUUUUGAAGUGCCAACAUGAUGCCACACAGGUAGCUGAGAUAGUGACACCUUUGCUUUCUGAUGGUUCAGUGUACACAAACUUUGUUUCAUGUAUAAAUUAUUUUAAAAAUCAUAUAAAAUUACCGUCAAGCUAUACGUAUAACGUAUAUAUGAAACAAAUGAAUCUUGGAUUUAUUUAUACAUAGGUUCCACCCUCAGAGUAUUUCUUUCUUUUUUUUUUUUUUUUUUUUUUUUGAGACGGAGUCUUGCUCUGUUGCCCAGACUAGAGUGCAGUGGCGUGAUCUCGGCUCACUGCAACUUCUGCCUCCCGGGUUCAAGUGAUUCUCCUGCCUCAGCCUCCCGAGUAGCUGGAAUUACAGAAGCCCGCCACCGCACCCGGCUAAUUUUUGUAUUUUUAGUAGAGAUGGUGUUUCACCACCUUGGCCAUGCUGCUCUCAAACUCCUGACCUCAUGAUUCACCUGCUUUGGCUUCCCAAAGUGCUGGGAUUACAGGUGUGAGCCACCAUGCCCAACCCAGAAUAUUUCAAAAAACAAACAAACAAAAAUCCAAAACAUUGAAACUACAGUCAAAAUUACAAAUCAGUACUCAAUAGAAAAUGCAGUAACUUUAAAAUCACCUGAUUUGGGGCAGAGCAAUGAAAAUCAGAAAGGAUUCCAGAAGGGUCUAUAAAAUGAAAAGUAACCAUAAAAUGAUCAACUUAGAAAACUAUUUUAAAUAUUGCUCCAUUCAAACCUGUGCCAGACUUUCCACUGAAAUGACAAAAACUGGAAACCCAAAAUGACGGUAACUGAGAGUGGUGCUAAGGCCCUAAGUUUUGGUUACACUCUCACCUAAGUGAGAACCUGGCCAAAAAGGGGGAAUUUUUUUUUUUUUGAGAUGGAGUCUGGCUCUGUCGCCCAGGCUGGAGUGCAGUGGCGCGAUCUCGGCUCACUGCAAGCUCCGCCUCCCGGGUUCAUGCCAUUUUCCUGCCUCAGCCUCCCAAGUAGCUGGGACUACAGGUGCCUGCCACCUCGCCCAGUUAAUUUUUUGUAUUUUUAGUAGACACGGAGUUUCACCGUGUUAGCCAGGAUGGUCUCGAUCUCCUGACCUCGUGAUCUGCCCACCUUGGCCUCUCAAAGUGCUGGAGAUGACAGGCGUGAG